GAUGAACGCUGGCGGCGUGCCUAAUACAUGCAAGUCGAGCGAACGGACGAGAAGCUUGCUUCUCUGAUGUUAGCGGCGGACGGGUGAGUAACACGUGGAUAACCUACCUAUAAGACUGGGAUAACUUCGGGAAACCGGAGCUAAUACCGGAUAAUAUUUUGAACCGCAUGGUUCAAAAGUGAAAGACGGUCUUGCUGUCACCUAUAGAUGGAUCCGCGCUGCAUUAGCUAGUUGGUAAGGUAACGGCUUACCAAGGCAACGAUGCAUAGCCGACCUGAGAGGGUGAUCGGCCACACUGGAACUGAGACACGGUCCAGACUCCUACGGGAGGCAGCAGUAGGGAAUCUUCCGCAAUGGGCGAAAGCCUGGCGGAGCAACGCCGCGUGAGUGAUGAAGGUCUUCGGAUCGUAAAACUCUGUUAUUAGGGAAGAACAUAUGUGUAAGUAACUGUGCACAUCUUGACGGUACCUAAUCAGAAAGCCACGGCUAACUACGUGCCAGCAGCCGCGGUAAUACGUAGGUGGCAAGCGUUAUCCGGAAUUAUUGGGCGUAAAGCGCGCGUAGGCGGUUUUUUAAGUCUGAUGUGAAAGCCCACGGCUCAACCGUGGAGGGUCAUUGGAAACUGGAAAACUUGAGUGCAGAAGAGGAAAGUGGAAUUCCAUGUGUAGCGGUGAAAUGCGCAGAGAUAUGGAGGAACACCAGUGGCGAAGGCGACUUUCUGGUCUGUAACUGACGCUGAUGUGCGAAAGCGUGGGGAUCAAACAGGAUUAGAUACCCUGGUAGUCCACGCCGUAAACGAUGAGUGCUAAGUGUUAGGGGGUUUCCGCCCCUUAGUGCUGCAGCUAACGCAUUAAGCACUCCGCCUGGGGAGUACGACCGCAAGGUUGAAACUCAAAGGAAUUGACGGGGACCCGCACAAGCGGUGGAGCAUGUGGUUUAAUUCGAAGCAACGCGAAGAACCUUACCAAAUCUUGACAUCCUUUGACAACUCUAGAGAUAGAGCUUUCCCCUUCGGGGGACAAAGUGACAGGUGGUGCAUGGUUGUCGUCAGCUCGUGUCGUGAGAUGUUGGGUUAAGUCCCGCAACGAGCGCAACCCUUAAGCUUAGUUGCCAUCAUUAAGUUGGGCACUCUAAGUUGACUGCCGGUGACAAACCGGAGGAAGGUGGGGAUGACGUCAAAUCAUCAUGCCCCUUAUGAUUUGGGCUACACACGUGCUACAAUGGACAAUACAAAGGGCAGCGAAACCGCGAGGUCAAGCAAAUCCCAUAAAGUUGUUCUCAGUUCGGAUUGUAGUCUGCAACUCGACUACAUGAAGCUGGAAUCGCUAGUAAUCGUAGAUCAGCAUGCUACGGUGAAUACGUUCCCGGGUCU
rnacentral:rRNA from 1 species